CCUACGGGCGGCAGCAGUGGGGAAUAUUGGACAAUGGGGGGAACCCUGAUCCAGCCAUGCCGCGUGUGUGAAGAAGGCCCUCGGGUUGUAAAGCACUUUCAGUGAGGAAGAACGCCUGGUGGUUAAUACCCAUCAGGAAAGACAUCACUCACAGAAGAAGCACCGGCUAACUCCGUGCCAGCAGCCGCGGUAAUACGGAGGGUGCGAGCGUUAAUCGGAAUUACUGGGCGUAAAGCGCGCGUAGGUGGCUUGAUAAGCCGGUUGUGAAAGCCCCGGGCUCAACCUGGGAACGGCAUCCGGAACUGUCAAGCUAGAGUGCAGGAGAGGAAGGUAGAAUUCCCGGUGUAGCGGUGAAAUGCGUAGAGAUCGGGAGGAAUACCAGUGGCGAAGGCGGCCUUCUGGACUGACACUGACACUGAGGUGCGAAAGCGUGGGUAGCAAACAGGAUUAGAUACCCUUGUAGUC
rnacentral:rRNA from 1 species